GUAAUGAAGGAUAUAAUAUUGACGCAAUAUCACAGCAUACUGCCAAGUUGAAGCGCCCUCAGUGUUGCCCCCCUUGCAUAUGUACCGGUCUGUAGUGAAUUGCGCCGGGAUCACUGCCCAGGGCCUGCCGUCCAUCCAAAAUCUUUGUCCACUUCACCGUCCUCAGAGUCCCUUUCCAGGCCCCGGUCAGUGUCCAGGGGU